rnacentral:pre_miRNA from 1 species
CGGUCGUCUAGCCAAGUUGGAACAGCUCCGCCUGAUCAACAAUAGUCUUAGCGGAAGUAUUCCAACUUCUCUGAGCAACUG